UCUCUGGUAUAAUUGGUUAACUGGUUUAUUUUCUUCUUCUAAUAUACAUCACUAAGUUGGUGACCAAUGACCAAUGCGCUCCCAAAACAACACGUGACCAUGUGAUAGUAAGAUAAUAUACCCGGAAACCGAAAAGCGGCAUUUAACAAAAACAGUUUCACGAAAAUGGCAACCCUUUCUAUUUAGAUUAUAAAUAUUACUAUAUUGAUGUAUUAAUCUGCCAAAAUUUGAAUCUGUAUAAAUUUUGAAAUAAAUUAUCUGAAUUUGUUUAAAUUUUCUUAUCAUAAACAAUUACUCAAUAACAAUCGAACGAAUUUUUUCAUUAAUCGAAACCUAUAAUAUAUUUCGAAAAUGGAUGCAAAUUACAUUAAUUUAGUUAAUUAGUUACUUAAAUUGCUGUAAUACGUAAUUAGUCAUAAGGUGCACUAUGUUAAUCACUAUGAAAAAUUAAACUUUUUGUUUAUAAAUACUACCUACUUGUUAAGAAUGAGUUUCACAAAUGCUAGAAUAUCAAUCGCGCUAUAAUAGCUAUAUUUAUUAUCGAUAUACAGGAUGCGGUCGAAUAACAUGUACAAGCGGGCGUGAGGGGAUUCCUUAUGAAAAAACAAGAAGAAGAUGUAGAAUAAAAUCCUUUUUUGUCCGAGGCUUUGUUUUAGAGAAAAUCGUAUUUAAAAAUUUAUCAAGUGCACUUGAUCAUCAUUAAUCAUCGACUAGGAAUUUCAUCUGUUGUCUUCGUCAAUGGUUCUUCAAAACCAGGAGGCGGAACAUAAAAUGGCAAUUUACCACGUUGCCAGUCGUUCAAAACCAUUCGUGAGACGAUAGUGAUAUCUGGUUCGCCUUUCUUUAAUAAUUUACCACUUCUACGUGCUAACUUCUCCAGAAAAUCAAUGAUUUUGAACAAGUUCUACUCUUACUACGCCUUUCAAUACUUUUUCUGUGUCAGUUUCUGCUGAUGGAUAAACUACGCCUGGACAAUCUAUCAAGUAAAUACGUCGCAUCAAAGUAAUAUAUUGCCAUACUUUUGUCUCUCCUGCUAUUGGUGCAACAUUACAUACUUUCUUUGAUCUUAAGUUUUGCAAACUGGCGUAACAAAUUAAUCAAAGAACCUUUACCAAAUGGAUGCGUCAUAGAAGCAUGAAAGGCCACUGUUGGAUAUUCUGCACUUAAUAUUGCAACCCAUCUUUGUGUUACCCAAGUUGGAACAAGAUCUACU